rnacentral:rRNA from 1 species
GUGCCAGCCGCCGCGGUAAUACGGGGGGUGCAAGCGUUGUUCGGAUUUAUUGGGCGUAAAGCGCGUGUAGGCGGUUUUAUAAGUCUGAUGUGAAAGCCCUGGGCUCAACCCGGGAAGUGCAUUGGAUACUGUAAGACUUGAAUACGGGAGAGGGCAGUGGAAUUCCUAGUGUAGGAGUGAAAUCCGUAGAUAUUAGGAGGAACACCGGUGGCGAAGGCGGCUGCCUGGACCGAUAUUGACGCUGAGACGCGAAAGCGUGGGUAGCAAACAGGAUUAGAAACCCGGGUAGUCC